UUCUACAACAAAAUUUUCACUCAAGAUUGGCCAAGACUAACUUUGCCUCAAGUCAACAGUUGUGCAUUUCACUAAGGUGUCAUUAACAAUAGUUUUGCUAAUAUCAGAUCUUGUAAAUGAAAUUAAUUUUGACCAAGACAGUCAAAAAAGGUAGAGGAGGAGGGAAAUGGUGGGGUAUGAGGAAUAAGAGCUGGAGUAUCAUAUGGCCCAGCUCAGAUCACCACUGUUGUUUACCUUCACUUCCUCUCAGGCUCAGAUGGCAACAGGUUAAAAAGAACUCUUCUGAAAUCAGAAUCAGGCCUAUUAUUACAGAAAUACGUUUUGAAAUUUGUUGUUUUAUGGCAGUAGUAUGGUGCAAGACAAAACUUAUGAUUGUGCAAAAUAGGAAUAAGCAAGAUAGUGUGCAUGGGUUCAUGGAUCUUUCAGAGUUCCGAUAGAAGGAGAAAGAACCUGUUCCUAAAAUGUUAAGCAUGGGUCUUCAGGUUUCUUUACCUCCUCCCUGAUGGAUUCCCUUCUUUUAAGGGUUCACUUAGACGAAAACAAUCUGCCAAACUAAUUCUAGGCCAGUUUUUGGUGCGUAAUGAGACUUUAUAUUGUAGGAUGUUUAGAAAAAUGAACCAUCUCAUUGAAAUAUACAAAAUCCAGCAAAGGCUUUACCAGCUAGAUGCAGAGAAAAUGAAUUCUUGACCCCAGAAAGCUAUGCAGACUGUCAUUCAGAACAGAUCAAUACUGCCUUGUAGUCACGUGCUUAGAGGAAGUGGAAUUUGUUAGGCACACCUAGGAGUGCUUCUUGAAACAAUACGCUGAUGGACCAACUAGGGAAGAGGAUAUACUAGAUCUUAUGUUGGGAAAUGAACCUUGCUAGUUGAUCCAAGUUUCAGUAGGGGAACUUUAUGAAAACAGUGAGCACAAUUCUCCCAAGUUUUCAGAUCACUAAGGGUAAGACUGGUUGUUGGAUGAAAACACUAAAUUUGGGGAAAGGCUAUUAUUAACUAAUUAUUAAUUUUUUUAAGCAAAAACUAGAGAAAGUAGAUUUGGGUCAGCUUGUCUGGUAUACUAGUCUUUUAAAGGUCAAUUGAUUAAGAAUAUGAGGAUGAAAGGUAAGGCUCAAGAACCUUAAUUAAAGGAGAGCAUAUACAAGGGUUAAGAAGCUGAAAUAUCUAUGAAGGAGGUGAGAAAUUGAAUAAGAAAGUUAGUGGGCUAAAAGGGGCCAUGAAAAGUAGGACUAAGGAGAAUCCCAAAACAUUUUAUAUGUUUAUUAGGAGCAUGGGGGUAUCUAGAGAAAGGGGCAAUCCAUUUAAAGACAAAGGAGAGAAUUUAUGUCUGGAGCCUGGUGAAGUAGGUGAGGCCCUUAUGAGAAUCUUCCAACAAUGUUCACCAAAGCAAAGGACAUGGAUGAUUAUGUUGAUAUUCCAGGUCAUGUUGAAAUUAAGGAAACGGUGAUAUUGCUUUUCCUCCCAAAAAACAUUAAGGUGCUAAGUCCUCAGUGAUUGAUCGAAUUUAUCAGGAUGCUGAGAGAAGUAAAGAAAGAGACAGCUAUGGCCUUGACAAAGACCUUUUUUUUAGGCAAGGUGCCAGAAGACUAAGAAUAACAAAUACUGUUCCUUUGGGUUUUCCCUUAUUACCAAGAAACUACAGGACAGUGAGCCUUACAACUGAAAGGUACGGAAAUCACUGAGAAUUUUAUUUAGGGACACUUACAUUUUGAAAUUCGUGGAAGUCCUGUCUCUCAAAUUUGUGUUUUUUUUCAGGAAGUGACGGAGAUAAUUGAAGGUAUGACAAUGGAUGUUUACACAGACUUUAGGAAAGCAGUGACAGGUCCCUCACUAUAAACUGCUACAGAAGACUAAAUCAUGAGGAAUCUACAUUGAAAUGGUAAACUAGAUCCAAUAUUGGCUAUUUUAUAGACUACAGUAGUGAUAAAAGUAUAUUUAUUUGACAGGAGGACUGUGACUAGUGAUGUUCUACAAGGAUCUGCACAAGGAACUCUUAUUUGGAAUGAAUCCUAAUGGAUGAAAUGCACUGCUCUGAUUACCAAGUGACACAAGGAUUGGAGGAGUUACUCAUAUUGCAGAAGGUUUUCAAAGUACAAAGCAAGAUAUAGAUCUGUUGGAAAUUUGAGCAAAGAAAUAGCAAGUUUAAUCUGGACAAGUGUAAGGUGGUAUAAUUUGGGAGGUCAAUGCAAGAGGAAGAUACAUAGUAAAUGGCAGAAUCCUUAUGAAAAAUGAUAUAUGCAGACAAAGGAGGCAACACAAAUGGAGGGUGACAGAAAAUGCAUGUAGCAUGCUUGCCUUCACUGGUGAAAGCAGAGUUUAAAAGUUGGGAAUUCAUUAUAGCUGUUCUGCUCUCUCCUUCCACAACACUUGGAGGGAGGGGGGCAGGUUGUUGUGCCAGGGACUAUGUCCCUCCUAACAUCACAUGUUAUCCCUGCAUGACACUGGGAACUAGAGUGGACGGGGGUGAAAAGAAUCCAGCCCCUCCUUCCAAGACACAGGGGCAGGGAGAUCCAGUUCUUCCUUCCAUGAGAUGACACUCAGUGCUAUCAUACAGAAUGAUGGUGGAUGGGAUACCAAACAAGUGGGCUGCUUUGUUCUCACGAACGAGGAGAGGUUACGCCCCCCCACCCAACUUGUGCCUUGUAAACCCUGCGUACCGUGUGACAAGUAUUCGGGACGGCAGAAGUCACUCACUGCAGGAUGCCAAGCCCAUGCUGCUUGACCUGCUGAGUUUCCCCAGAAGAUUGUUGCUCUAGACUCCAGCAUCUAGUCUCUUGUUUCUUCACCUUCUGUACCAUGAAGACUGAGUAAAUGGUAUGAUGCAUACAUGGAGAGGUGGUUGGGUUGGUCAAGGCUCCACCAGCAAUCACUUAAAGGAUAAAAUGCAAAGUUAUGCAUGUGCAUUUGUCCCAGCUAUUUUCAAAUGCCAGAUCAACUCCCCUGCACUAACCUGUUCUGAUGGAUAACAAAUAAA